rnacentral:rRNA from 1 species
CCUACGGGUGGCAGCAGUGGGGAAUAUUGGACAAUGGGGGGAACCCUGAUCCAGCCAUGCCGCGUGUGUGAAGAAGGCCCUCGGGUUGUAAAGCACUUUCAGUGAGGAAGAAUGCCUGGUGGUUAAUACCCAUCAGGAAAGACAUCACUCACAGAAGAAGCACCGGCUAACUCCGUGCCAGCAGCCGCGGUAAUACGGAGGGUGCGAGCGUUAAUCGGAAUUACUGGGCGUAAAGCGCGCGUAGGUGGCUUGAUAAGCCGGUUGUGAAAGCCCCGGGCUCAACCUGGGAACGGCAUCCGGAACUGUCAAGCUAGAGUGCAGGAGAGGAAGGUAGAAUUCCCGGUGUAGCGGUGAAAUGCGUAGAGAUCGGGAGGAAUACCAGUGGCGAAGGCGGCCUUCUGGACUGACACUGACACUGAGGUGCGAAAGCGUGGGUAGCAAACAGGAUUAGAUACCCUUGUAGUC